CAGAGAAGAGGGGACUUAACCCGAAAGUCAAGGACUGGGAGUCCCUCAGCUCUGCUGUAAGACUUCAUUUCAUUCCUGGAAGGAAAAGAAAAGGUGACCUCACAGCUCAGAGGUAGACAGGCUCAGGCACCAACUCAGGAUGAAUGAGGUUUGUCUUCACAGAAGAGCAGCUGGCUCAGGUUUCUUUGGCUCCCUUCCCUCUUUUACCACGGGGCCUUUUGGGAAAGCUUAUUUAAAUAUUUCGGGCUGACUUAACUGUGCCCCAGGGAGUGAAGCGAUGGACAGUGUCCAGCACACGGCUUCCCUAGAUGCCGGUAAAAUAUUUUCUUCAACUCAUCCAGGACAGUUAGAGGGAUCUCUGAAGAAUACACAUAGCUUCAAAUUUACAAGCACUCUACAGUAUUCAGCCCCUGGCAUCUUGUUACGAUCACUUUAUGUCAAGCGCUCUUGUCAUCUCUUCAUGUCCCCCGUUGCAGGCCCAGCCCUCUCAAAUUUCAGCCUUCCCUGCCCACCAGGAACUGUUUCUCCUUUAAGUAUCUGCGCUGUUCCUGUAAGUAUGGUGGAGUGUAUUUAUUUACAAAGAGGAAACAAACCCAGGAGAUUUUCAUCAGGACGACCACAGAAGAGGUAACCAGUUCCUGUGCCUGUUUUCCUCUGUGAAAUAAAGAAAAUUUAUAAACUGCUAACUCGGUGCGCUCCCAUGAACUUCCUUGAAAGUUCCAGAGUUAUAUUGGAGUCAGUUUUAACUACCAAGGAUUUCAAAGAGAAUGAGGAAUUAAUCAGGAAGCUUUAUUUCAAGAGCCACACUUAUUAUUUAAAACAUCACCGGCAAUCAUUCAACAUAUAAAGGUAGUCUGACUAUGUAGCACAGGUUGGCAUGGAAUUUUGUACCCUUCUGUCUCUCGCCCUCUGAAAGGCUAAGAUGAUCGGAAUGAGCCCCUAUGCUGGACUUGAAUUAAGGUUAAGAUGAUCGGAAUGGGGCUGGAGAGAUGGCUCAGCGGUUAAGAGCAUUGCCUGCUCUUCCAAAGGUCCUGAGUUCGAUUCCCAGCAACCACAUGGUGGCUCACAACCAUCUGUAAUGAGGUCUGGUGCCCU